rnacentral:rRNA from 1 species
GACGAACGCUGGCGGCGUGCCCAAUACAUGCAAGUAGAACGCUGAAGGAGGAGCUUGCUCUUCUGGAUGAGUUGCGAACGGGUGAGUAACGCGUAGGUAACCUGCCUGGUAGCGGGGGAUAACUAUUGGAAACGAUAGCUAAUACCGCAUAAGAGUAGAUGUUGCAUGACAUUUACUUAAAAGGUGCAAUUGCAUCACUACCAGAUGGACCUGCGUUGUAUUAGCUAGUUGGUGGGGUAACGGCUUACCAAGGCGACGAUACAUAGCCGACCUGAGAGGGUGAUCGGCCACACUGGGACUGAGACACGGCCCAGACUCCUACGGGAGGCAGCGGUAGGGAAUCUUCGGCAAUGGACGGAAGUCUGACCGAGCAACGCCGCGUGAGUGAAGAAGGUUUUCGGAUCGUAAAGCUCUGUUGUAAGAGAAGAACGAGUGUGAGAGUGGAAAGUUCACACUGUGACGGUAUCUUACCAGAAAGGGACGGCUAACUACGUG